AGAGUAUUCAUGAUUAGUUGUUCUAGAAACAUAUAUACUACAUGUGAUAUUUCUAGUAACAGUAGUCAGGACAACUGUUCUGAAGUAAAGCUUCCUUUUCACCGGUGCGGGUAACUCCUUAUUUUUGCCAGUUGGGUCUGCCUCGUGUGUGAAUGCAUGUAUUUAUUUUAGGUGCUCACCUGACAAGGUGGAGCUUUUUUACUUAGGUGGGAAUAAUUCUUUGGUGGCUUUCUUUUUUCUUGAGUUGCGAUGUAGACAAUGGACGGGUGAUGAGUCUAUGACUUGAGUGGAAUCAAUUGUAUUACCAUAGACAAAAAUAGAUGUGAGAGUGUACCUUAUUCUUGGCCAUGUAGUGGUUGGUACAGAAUUCCUUGGUGCCAGCAGUGGUAUUAGUUAGUUUCAAACAAAGACAAAGAGAUAACUCCAUUAAUAGUUCCUCUGUUAUAAGAUUAUGUUGGUCUUCCUUCUAUACGUGGGCAGUGAGGGCAUCUGUAGGUGUUUCUAUUGGUCAAUGUCCUUCUCCUGAAAUCCUUGCACGAGUGAUGCCUCCAAUUAUGGGGGUUGUUAACCUCUGUAAAAACAAUUUAAUUUGCAAUGUUUUCCUUGCAGGUUGUCAACACAUUGGGUUUGUCUGUAGAUUAUGAACGUAAUUGCAACUGGGGAAACCGGCCUCAUCAGUGUUGGUGUAGUGGCUAAAAAUUCAGGCUACGGCAUAAUCUUCUUGGCUGCCCACACCUUUGGAAAUUGCGUGAACGCUGAUAAAGCUGAACUUCGUACUCUGAAAGAAGGCAUCGGUCUUUCAGCUCCUAGUUUCACACACCAGUUAAUUUUGAGAGUGAUUGUGCAACUGUUGUACAUGCUGUGAAUGCCAAAGGAAUAGAUAUAUCUAAACUUCGUGGUUUAAUCAAUGAAAUUAAAGUCAAAGGAGAA